rnacentral:tRNA from 1 species
AGGCACGUGGCUCAGUUGGUUAGAGCACCACCUUGGCAUGGUGGGGGUCGUUGGUUCGAAUCCAAUCGUGCCUACCA